rnacentral:misc_RNA from 1 species
GAUGAAGAACGCAGCGAAAUGCGAUAAGUAAUGUGAAUUGCAGAAUUCAGUGAAUCAUCGAGUCUUUGAACGCGCAUUGCGCCCCCUGGUAUUCCGGGGGGCAUGCCUGUCCGAGCGUCAUUGCUGCCCUCAAGCACGGCUUGUGUGUUGGGCCCCCGUCCCCGGUUUCCCCCGGGGACGGGCCCGAAAGGCAGCGGCGGCACCGCGUCCGGUCCUCGAGCGUAUGGGGCUUUGUCACCCGCUCUGUAGGCCCGGCCGGCGCCAGCCGACACCCAACUUUAUUUCUAAGGUUGACCUCGGAUCAGGUAGGGAUACCCGCUGAACUUAAGCAUAUCAAUAAGCGGAGGA